GACGAAUGCUGGCGGCAUGCCUAAUACAUGCAAGUCGAGCGAACAGAUGAAGUGCUUGCACCUCUGACGUUAGCGGCGAACGGGUGAGUAACACGUAAGGAAUCUACCUAUAAGCGGGGGAUAACAUUCGGAAACGGGUGCUAAUACCGCAUAAUAUCUUCUUCCGCAUGGAAGAAGAUUGAAAGACGGCUCUGCUGUCACUUAUAGAUGACCUUGCGGUGCAUUAGUUAGUUGGUGGGGUAACGGCCUACCAAGACGAUGAUGCAUAGCCGACCUGAGAGGGUGAUCGGCCACAUUGGGACUGAGACACGGCCCAAACUCCUACGGGAGGCAGCAGUAGGGAAUCUUCCGCAGUGGGCGAAAGCCUGACGGAGCAAUGCCGCGUGAGUGAAGAAGGCCUUCGGGUCGUAAAACUCUGUUAUAAGAGAAGAACAAAUUGUAGAGUAACUGCUACAGUCUUGACGGUAUCUUAUCAGAAAGCCACGGCUAACUACGUGCCAGCCGCCGCCGUAA
rnacentral:rRNA from 1 species